UUCUAAAAACUUAUUCCAAAAACUUUUGGUCAUAUAUAUAUAUAUAUAUAUAUAUAUAUAUGGAGUUGAGCUAGAAUGCUAUCGGUAGAAAACGGGCUCCGUUGCCACCCAUUUGUUUUCGAUGAUGGAGUCUUCAAAUCGACAAUCGGCAUCGUUGAACAUGAUCUAUAUCAUUUGAAAUAUCUAGAAAUCAAAUUUCAAAUCUUUUCAACAUCAUUGACCUAAUGAUCAAAGGGUUUUAAAAUUUGUAAUUUUAAUGGUCGACAUGAGGUGUUUUCUCGUUUAACGGUGUAAAACUAUCCAAAUCAAUUGAAUUUUUGUUAGAAAAUUCUUUAAACUAUUUAGAACAAGAUCUAUACUCUCGAUCUUGAUUACAAAAUUUUUAUCAUCACUUUUUAGAGAAUAUUUAUUUUGAGCCGUUCAUUUUUACGCUCACUUGAUUAACAAGAGAACAAUAUCGGAAAAGUAUGAAAUUUAAUUUCUAGAUAUUUCAAGUGGUAUAGAUCAUUUUCAACGGUGCCGAUCGUCGAUUUGGAGGCCCCAUCAUCGAAAAUAAAUGGAUGGCAACGGAGCCAAUUUGCGACCGACAGUAUUCCAGCUCAACUCUAUAUAUAUAUUAUAAUGUGGGUAAGACAUUUUAUUGGUGAGAUGUACUAUUAUUAAUG
rnacentral:lncRNA from 1 species